rnacentral:rRNA from 1 species
AGUGAACGCUGGCGGUAGGCCUAACACAUGCAAGUCGAACGGCAGCACAGGAGAGCUUGCUCUCUGGGUGGCGAGUGGCGGACGGGUGAGAAAUACAUCGGAAUCUACUUUUUCGUGGGGGAUAACGUAGGGAAACUUACGCUAAUACCGCAUACGACCUACGGGUGAAAGCAGGGGACCUUCGGGCCUUGCGCGAUUGUAUGAGCCGAUGUCGGAUUAGCUAGUUGGCGGGGUAAAGGCCCACCAAGGCGACGAUCCGUAGCUGGUCUGAGAGGAUGAUCAGCACACACUGGAACUGAGACACGGUCCAGACUCCUACGGGAGGCAGCAGUGGGGAAUAUUGGACAAUGGGCGCAAGCCUGAUCCAGCCAUACCGCGUGGGUGAAGAAGGCCUUCGGGUUGUAAAGCCCUUUUGUUGGGAAAGAAAUCCAGCUGGCUAAUACCCGGUUGGGAUGACGGUACCCAAAGAAUAAGCACCGGCUAACCUCGUGCCAGCCGCCGCGUAA